rnacentral:rRNA from 1 species
CGGCAACAGCUCAAAUUUAAAAUCUGGCCUCUUCGGGGCCCGAGUUGUAAUUUGUAGAGGAUGUUUUGGUGAGGUGCCGCCCGAGUUCCCUGGAACGGGACGCCACAGAGGGUGAGAGCCCCGUCUGGCUGGCCACCGAGCCUCUGUAAAGCUCCUUCGAC